rnacentral:rRNA from 1 species
UGACAGUACUCCUACGGGGAGGCAGCAGUGGGGGAAUAUUGCACAAUGGGCGCAAGCCUGAUGCAGCCAUGCCGCGUGUAUGAAGAAGGCCUUCGGGUUGUAAAGUACUUUCAGCAGUGAGGAAGGUGGAGUCGUUAAUAGCGGCCUCAUUUGACGUUAGCUGCAGAAGAAGCACCGGCUAACUCCGUGCCAGCAGCCGCGGUAAUACGGAGGGUGCGAGCGUUAAUCGGAAUUACUGGGCGUAAAGCGCAUGCAGGUGGUUUGUUAAGUCAGAUGUGAAAGACCCGGGGCUCAACCUCGGAAUAGCAUUUGAAACUGGCAGACUAGAGUACUGUAGAGGGGGGUAGGAAUUUCAGGUGUAGCGGUGAAAUGCGUAGAGAUCUGAAGGAAUACCGGUGGCGAAGGCGGCCCCCUGGACAGAUACUGACACUCAGAUGCGAAAGCGUGGGGAGCAAACAGGAUUAGAUACCCUGGUAG